rnacentral:rRNA from 1 species
UCGGGAAUUUUGGGCAAUGGGCGAAAGCCUGACCCAGCGACGCCGCGUGAAGGAUGAAGUAUUUCGGUAUGUAAACUUCGUAAGAAUAGGAAGAAUAAAUGACGGUACUAUUUGUAAGGUCCGGCUAACUACGUGCCAGCAGCUGCGGUAAUACGUAGGGACCAAGCGUUGUUCGGAUUUACUGGGCGUAAAGGGCGCGUAGGCGGCGUGGUAAGUCAUCUGUGAAAUCUCCGGGCUUAACUCGGAACGGUCAGAUGAUACUGCUUUGCUAGAGUGCAGAAGGGGCAAUCGGAAUUCUUGGUGUAGCGGUGAAAUGCGUAGAUAUCAAGAGGAACACCUGAGGUGAAGACGGGUUGCUGGGCUGACACUGACGCUGAGGCGCGAAAGCCAGGGGAGCAAACGGGAUUAGAUACCCCGGUAGUCCCUGAGCGGGCUGGCAAGGCGCAU